UACGUAGGGUGCAAGCGUUAAUCGGAAUACUGGGCGUAAAGCGUGCGCAGGCGGUGAUGUAAGACAGGUGUGAAAUCCCCGGGCUUAACCUGGGAACUGCAUUGUGACUGCAUCGCUGGAGUGCGGCAGAGGGGGAUGGAAUUCCGCGUGUAGCAGUGAAAUGCGUAGAUAUGCGGAGGAACACCGAUGGCGAAGGCAAUCCCCUGGACCUGUACUGACGCUCAUGCACGAAAGCGUGGGGAGCAAACAGG
rnacentral:rRNA from 1 species